AGAUGGAGUCUCACUCUGUUGCCAGGCUGGAGUACAGUGGCACAAUUUCCCCUCACUGCAACCUCCGCCUCCCGGGUUCAAGUGAUUCCUGUGCCUCAGCAUCCUGAGUAGCUGGGACUACAGCUCUGCUUCUGUGGCAAAAAGAAAGAUUAUAAUGCUGGCACAUGAGUUUUACAACAUUUUCUGCAUAACUAACUGGUUGAGAUUGGACAGCAUUGCUGGAGACCAACGGAAGCAGAGCUAUUUAUGGAGGUAGACAGAAAAACAGAAGCAUCCACUGUUGGAUUUCCAGGACAUAUCCCAGCAAUAGGCAGAAGUUCUACGACGACCUUAAUACAUUGACCUUAAGCCGAGGAAACAAUUGUUAUCUGUGAACUCUCCAUUAAAUAUAUCAAAUGAGAAAA